CCAACAAAGCUUCUUUGAAUCCAAGGACGAUGCUGGCCAUUCGAUUAUGUGCAGUUUCAGUAUUACCGAUCAUGAAAUCCCAUCCUGUGAAAAGCUUCCACGAGAACACAUACUCGUCCUCUUUCUCUGUGAUAUUACAUUUACAUGUACAAUGAUUUACUUGCGCAGUAUGGCGACAAAGCUAUAUAUGUAGACCACUAAAUUUGUAACAAAAUAUGCCAAAGGCAAUCUGUAGCCACUUUUAGAAUCUUGAUUGGUGUACCAGCCAUAGAAGAAUGGGGAAUAUUUUAAGACUCCUUCAAACUCCCACAAAGUUAACAAGUGCUUUGAUUUGAUUUUUUCUUCUCUGAGCAUGAUCUUUCUUUCUCCAGCUGCUAGAGGGUCUGCUGUGAGCAUCUAUAGUAAAAAGAAUAGUUAUAGAUGAGUUAUAGUGAUUCUCGAUCAGAGUAUUAUACCUCUGGAAUCGCUACAAAAGCUGUAAGAAUGGCUGCCAUAACGAGAUUGAUCCAGAACAACCAGCGAAGAAAAGUGAAAUAGGAGGCCACCGCGGAACCAAAAUGAGACUCGAUCUCCUUGAUUCGAAACUCCCAUGGGAUUAACCAUGUUUGAAGGUUUACCAUCUCCCUUCGACAGCUUCAAUUUGAUCCUUGCCUUUGUAACAAACAAUGAGAUACGCGCGAUGGCAUCUUUGGUACUUCGAGUUUGAGCCAGUCGUUCCUGAAGAACACCUUCGUGCCUCCUUACGUACGACUUCGCUUGUCGUACCAGUUUGAUCUUACGACGAAGAGGCCAUGGCUGUUGCUUCACUCCACCGAGGACUUCCUUGUGCAGCUUCAGCUUCUCGAAUAUCUGUUCCUGACUACCGCUUUCUUCCAUCGAGAUUGCGGUUCUACAGAUUUUUAACGCAUCAUCGAAGUACUAAGGAAUACUAUAAAAAAUUACUGGAAAUUGAUAUACUAACUCUCCAGAGCUGAUGGUGUAAAUAGACGACCUCCGACGAAGGGUAGCUUCAGCCUCCACGCUAAAAGGCGACGAGGGGCGCCGUUUCCGUCUACUUUGUCGUCGACUCGAACUCCGUCGCUGCAUAAUCGCGCAAGCUGACGCUGAGUAAUCGUCUUCAUCCGCCUCUUCCUCUGAAACACCAAAAGUCCAACAGUUGUUUCGGUCCAACUUGUAGAAUACUUGAUCAAACAACAAUCCAGGAUUAACAUUAAACAAACCAGCUAUGGAUAUUCUUUGCAUAUCGACGUCGUUCUUUUCGUUUGAAGCAACCUUUUGAUUAUCCUGCACGUUGUUGUCUUCAACAAUGGCAAAAGUAACUGACAGUCGGUCGACCGACGGCUGAGGGGAUGAAGGUUCCACCUAUAGGAAGAGGUGAAAGCAAGCAAUUAGGUGCAUGAAUUUCGCUCAUACAUCAUCCAUCGUCACGCCACAUGGGGUGUCGAAUGAGAAGGCUGGACUUAAUUUCAGUGGAUUUCCAAAUUGAUUCCAUGGAUGAUUUAGCAUACAGGAAGAAUAAGGGCACAAGUACCUACCUUGCUUUUGUAAGAAGAAACAAACUUGUAAAAUGAAAUGAAGAACUUGAGGAAACACAAUUAACAGCACAUUUGAUAAAGAUAAUAAUGAUUCUAUGAAUUAUAAGAGGACACUGAUAAUUAGAAUCUGAAGAGAUGAGGUGAUGAAUCAACGUCGAUGGAGUGGAAGGAACUGUCGAUAGGAAACAAGGUCCAAUGUUCAUCCCCUAGUAAAACCGCGCCUGUACAGAACUCGUUUUAAUGGUUGUUUCACUCGAUAUCAGGGACAUCGUGUUUUCGUGGACGACAGAAAUCUUCGAAAUCACGAAAGCUCGUAUAUCACAGGGUAAAUGGAUACCUCGGUUUACGAUCCGAUCGCUUACUCACCGUGUAACUUACACGACAGCCAAGCUUCUAUGUGACGAUUUCAUUUGGCCAAAGGUGGUAGUUUUAUUUCGUUAAUAUAAUAUAAAUAAUUAUUCUUUGCUGCAGAAUAGGCAUAAAUAAUUGCCUAAAAUAAUAGUGAGACUAUUAUAGGACAAUAUCUAAUUUUAAAGUAAUCAAUACAAGUUAAAAAGAAUUAGGAAGUAUGCAUCUACGGGAUUAAUGAUCUACAAAAAGACUUUGACACCAUGUCGGUGUAAAUGAUCCAGAAGCUCGAGGUCGUGUACGUGCCGCACCCUGAAGAGGCAUCGUGCCUCACGUAUACCUCGCAUUUUUCAUGUGACCCCACCUCACAUAAUCAUUUCUCUUCCAAACUCUUGCGUCGUGUUACACGCGAGUUUCCAAAGCUCACGAAAAUCGCUCUUCUACCCUCUCUUCAUAAUGUGCUGUCCAUCUAAAUGAAGCUUAUAACGUGAUUCGUAAAAAAAGUCACGAAACGUAACGCUAAUCGUUGUCGUUUAUUUUUAUAGCACACUUUGGAAAAAUGACUAACUUAUAGCGAAGAGGAGGAAUGUCCAGGAAUGUCAUUUCGUAAGAACAAUUUUUUAAUUAAUAUCGGGUGCGUAUGAAUAGUAAUUAAUAAAUUUUCUGUGAAGUAAUCGAACCCGAUAACAGUUUUCACCUCUCACGCGAUGCCUGGUUCUUGUCGAUACAUUUGCUAAUUAAAUAGGCUCGAGAUAAUCAUAAAUAAUUGUUGAUUACUUUCACUACAUCAUUUUUUUUUCUAGAUAACAAAUCACUUGUUUUAAUAGAAUAUUAAUCUGAUUAAAAAUCAAAUGUUACCUGCUU